GCCUCGGUGGUGUAGUGGUAUAGCACGUAUCGCCGGUUAGAAUGAAACGCAGGUUCGAUGCCCACCUGAGGCC